UAAGCUUGCUUAAUUGCUGACGACCGGCGCACGGGUGCGUAACGCGUAUGCAACCUACCUUAUACUGGGGUAUAGCCCGGAGAAAUUCGGAUUAAUCCCCCAUAGUACUAUUUUACCGCAUGGUAAGAUAGUUAAAGCAUUGCGGUAUAAGAUGGGCAUGCGUCCUAUUAGCUAGAUGGUGAGGUAACGGCUCACCAUGGCUACGAUAGGUAGGGGGCCUGAGAGGGUGGUCCCCCACACUGGUACUGAGACACGGACCAGACUCCUACGGGAGGCAGCAGUGAGGAAUAUUGGUCAAUGGGCGCAAGCCUGAACCAGCCAUGCCGCGUGCAGGAAGAAUGCCCUAUGGGUUGUAAACUGCUUUUAUUUGGGAAUAAACCUCUUUACGUGUAGAGAGCUGAAGGUACCAAAUGAAUAAGCACCGGCUAACUCCGUGCCAGCAGCCGCGGUAAUACGGAGGGUGCAAGCGUUAUCCGGAAUCAUUGGGUUUAAAGGGUCCGC
rnacentral:rRNA from 1 species